UAGUGAGGUCUUCGGAUUGGCUUUGGGGAGCCGGCGACGGCACCCUAUCGCUGAGAAGUCGAUCAAACUUGGUCAUUUAGAGGAAGUAAAAGUCGUAACAAGGUUUCCGUAGGUGAACCUGCGGAAGGAUCAUUAUUGAAAUUAUAGGUGAGGGUUGUAGCUGGCCUCUCGGGGCAUGUGCACGCCCGAGCCCUUAAUCCACACACACCUGUGAACCUAUUGUAAGGGCCCUUAAAAAAGGCCUUUACGUCUUAUCAUCAACCCAUCGUAUGUCUCAUAGAAUGUAAAUAUAUGUCCUCGCCUUAAAAAGCGUUGAUAAACUUAUACAACUUUCAACAACGGAUCUCUUGGCUCUCGCAUCGAUGAAGAACGCAGCGAAAUGCGAUAAGUAAUGUGAAUUGCAGAUUUUCAGUGAAUCAUCGAAUCUUUGAACGCACCUUGCGCUCCUUGGUAUUCCGAGGAGCAUGCCUGUUUGAGUGUCAUUAAAUUCUCAACUCNGAUCGAUUUGUUUCGACUUCGGAGCUUGGAUUUGGAGCGUGCUGGCGUCGGUCGGCUCCUCUUAAAUGCAUCAGCGGAAUCUAACGUUUCGGANGUCAGUGUGAUAAUCAUGUUGCGCUGUCUGUCUGAUCCGAAAGCCCGCUCACAAUGGUCUUCGGACAACUUCAUAUCAAAUUUGACCUCAAAUCAGGUAGGACUACCCGCUGAACUUAAGCAUAUCAAUAAGCGGAGGAAAAGAAACUAACAAGGAUUCCCCUAGUAACUGCGAGUGAAGCGGGAAAAGCUCAAAUUUAAAAUCUGGCGGUCUUGCGGCCGUCCGAGUUGUAAUCUGGAGAAGCGUUUAUCCGCGUCGGACCGUGUACAAGUCUUCUGGAAGGGAGCGUCGUAGAGGGUGAGAAUCCCGUCUUUGACACGGACAACCGGUGCUUUUGUGAUGCGCUCUCGAAGAGUCGAGUUG
rnacentral:rRNA from 1 species